GACAACGCUGGCGGCAUGCUUAACACAUGCAAGUCGAACGGACUGAUUCCUUCGGGGAUGAAAGUUUAGUGGCGAACGGGUGAGUAAUGUAUGAGCAACCUGCCUCUGUCAACGGGAUACCUACUGGAAACGGUAGUUAAUACGGUAUAUGACCACAGCAUCGCAUGGUGCAGCGGUGAAAGAUUUUAUCGGACAGAGAUGAGCUUGCGUCUGAUUAGGUAGUUGGUGAGGUAACGGCCCACCAAGCCGACGAUCGGUAGCCGGACUGAGAGGGUGAACGGCCACAUUGGGACUGAGAUACGGCCCAGACUCCUACGGGAGGCAGCAGGUGGGGAAUAUUGGGCAAUGGGGGAGACCCUGACCCAGCAACGCCGCGUGAAGGAAGAAGGUUUUCGGAUUGUAAACUUCUGUCCUAUGAGACGAAGGAAGUGACGGUAUCAUAGGAGGAAGCCCCGGCUAACUACGUG
rnacentral:rRNA from 1 species